rnacentral:lncRNA from 12 species
AUUUUUUUUCAUAUCCUUUAUCCUUUGAAACUGGAUAAUGAAUGAUCAUAAAGGCAUAGUUCACCCAAAAGUCAUAAUUUAUUCACCCUUCAUUAAAAGUCAAUAAUUUACAUAUAGUAAAUCUGUGGCUUUUAUCUCACGGUUGGUUGCUUUUUUUAAUACUCAUAGUGUGCAGGCCUUUUUUGCUACUUUUUACCAUUAUGAAGAAAAAUACUGUAAUAUAUGUACAGUGAUAGUCUAUGAUUAUAUUAACCAAAGCACUAGUUGGUCUUUUGAGGUAGUGCAGCUAAAAAAUAAAUUUUGCUGCAUUUUUAGGUAACUAUCUUCCCUCUCAGUAACAUCUCCAUUUGAUCUAUUCUUGAAGAAGUGGGAAACUGUGGCAGACUUUGAGUUUGUCAAAGCAUUAUGUCCGAGGCAUGAUGUGGGCAACCCGAAUUCGAGUCAUUUUCUGGGGGUCUUAGGGUAAUGAGGUCAUCAUAUGUGUGUGUAGCUGGUGAGGGUGCAGCAGCAGGAGAGCACUGAUCUGGAGCUGCAGCACAGGCUGAGGCAGAAGAAGUUGCAGUCCCAGCUGCAGGCAGUAGAGAGCGCUCUGGCCCUUAGGCUGGAGCAGAUGGAGCAGGCCAGAGCUGCAGAAAUGGACCUGCAGAGGGAGCGCAAACAGUGCACUGCAUUACAAGAGCAGGUGGAUAAACUAGAGCAGGAUGUGUGUGAGUGGGACUCCAGACUCCAGCAUGCUGUUGGGGAGACCAGUCACCUGCAAGAGGCUCUGGUCUCUGACAGGACCAGCGCUGAGGGACGUCAGGAGGCCCAAAGCAACCACACCCACACAAACAGGCAAAAACUGCAGGGAGUGGAAAAGGUGAUUGGCACACUGAUCCAUAAGCACUACACUGCCAAUUUAAUGGACCAUAGAGCUGUUGCAUAGGUGCUAUAGCAUUAAGGGCAUUAACAGUAUUAAAGUGAUAGUUCACCCAAAAUUAAAUGACGUUCCAAACCUGUAUGAUGUAUUUCUUCUGUGCUACAUAAAGGAAGGUAUUUUAAAGAAUUUCUCAGGUUCAGUAGUUUAAGAACCCAUGUGCUCUCAUUAUAUGCACAGAAUCAUUCUUCAAAAUACCUUCUGGUAUAUCUUCAUGCUGUUUAUUUCAGUGUUACUUUAGUAUUAUUUGUAUACUAUUAUAGUAUUUAUUAAUAUUUUGAAUUAGUUUAUUUUCUUUUUUUGUUUUCUUUUCAAUUUAAAGUUUAAGUUUUAGUAAUUUUGUUAUUUGAUAAUGUUAUGUUCUUUUUUAUAAUUU